rnacentral:rRNA from 1 species
CCUACGGGUGGCUGCAGUAGGGAAUCUUCCACAAUGGACGAAAGUCUGAUGGAGCAACGCCGCGUGAGUGAAGAAGGGUUUCGGCUCGUAAAGCUCUGUUGGUAGUGAAGAAAGAUAGAGGUAGUAACUGGCCUUUAUUUGACGGUAAUUACUUAGAAAGUCACGGCUAACUACGUGCCAGCAGCCGCGGUAAUACGUAGGUGGCAAGCGUUGUCCGGAUUUAUUGGGCGUAAAGCGAGUGCAGGCGGUUCAAUAAGUCUGAUGUGAAAGCCUUCGGCUCAACCGGAGAAUUGCAUCAGAAACUGUUGAACUUGAGUGCAGAAGAGGAGAGUGGAACUCCAUGUGUAGCGGUGGAAUGCGUAGAUAUAUGGAAGAACACCAGUGGCGAAGGCGGCUCUCUGGUCUGCAACUGACGCUGAGGCUCGAAAGCAUGGGUAGCG